GGGAGGCUCUGGCUGGAUGGCUGUGGGGACCUCAUUCAGCUGUGGAUCUUAAUGAAUGCUCCUUUAUGAGGGCUGGGAGAGCAGAAAGCUGUGAAUGUGGCCAAAGUCCUGCAAAAAUGUCUGUGAUGCUGUGGCAGAAGACAACUGGAAUCAGAUGUCACUCACAAGGGAAAAUAAGGGAGCAACCUCACUGAAGGCAGAGUCAUCAGCUCAUGCUCACCAGGCUGACACAACAGUGCUGCCUCAUGCUCUCUCACAGGUCCUUUUUUGAUAAACUGUGAUACAAGAAAUACAUCUGAGACUAUGCCACUGCAGAGAAUAGAGAUGGAAUAUAGCAGCAACACAAGUUUUUAUUUCCCUUUUUAUCCCUUCCAAAUGCCAGUACACUCAAAAGUGUAUAUCCAAAAAACAAAAGCAAUUUACACCUUUCAUUUCUCUUUUGUAUAAUAAUAUCGCUUUUCUAGUAGAAACACGAGGAGUUAAAAAAUCUGAAUUUAGGCAAAUUAUUUCACAUGAGAUGAAGAGCUCCUCUUUUCUCAGAACAUCACAAUAUACACUAAC